rnacentral:rRNA from 1 species
AUGCCAUCGCGGCGCCUGCGGUGCGCUGGAAGUACUACAGCGCCCCGAGACGGCCAACGGCACCGGGCUGCUCUGGUUCGCAUCACUGGCACUGGCACCGGCAUGGCGCGCUCCCUGCUCGGCGACGCGCUCCUCUUCUCCGCCGGCGCCGCGGUGGGCGCCGUGCUGCUUCUCACGCUGGCAUCGCCCUUCGCUCCGCCCGCCGUCCUGCUGGGACGACGGUCGUCGUCCGCUGCUGGCGGCGGUGGUGAUCGGCGCACGUUCUAUGACGACCCGGAGGUGACGUACACCGUGGACCGUCCCAUCACCGGGUGGGACGAGAAGCGCGCCCAGUGGCUCCGCGCGCACCCGGAGCUGGCCGGCGCCGGCGAGGGGUGCGUCCUGAUGGUGUCCGGCUCGCAGCCGACGCCGUGCCGCUCCCCCACGGGCGACCACGUGCUGACGCGGCUCCUCAAGAACAAGGCGGACUACUGCCGCCUCAACGGCGUGCAGCUGCUGUACAACACGGCGCUGCUCCGCCCGUCCAUGGACCGGUACUGGGCCAAGAUCCCGCUGAUCCGGGCCGCCAUGGUGGCGCACCCGGAGGCGGAGUGGGUCUGGUGGGUGGACUCGGACGCCGUGCUCACCGACAUGGACUUCCGCCUCCCGCUGCGCCGGUACCGCGGCCACAACCUCGUCGUCAACGGCUGGCCGAGCCUCGUGUACGACGAGGCGAGCCCGUCGUGGACGGGCCUCAACGCCGGCGUGUUCCUCGUGCGCAACUGCCAGUGGUCGCUCGACUUCAUGGACGCCUGGGCCGCCAUGGGGCCCGACUCGCCGGACUACCGCCGGUGGGGCGCCGUGCUCACGUCCACGUUCAGGGACAAGGUGUUCAACGAGUCGGACGACCAGUCGGCGCUGGUGUACAUGCUGCAGCACAAGGGCAGCCCGUGGCGGGCCAAGGUGUUCCUGGAGAACGACUACUACUUCCAGGGCUACUGGGUGGAGAUCGUGGGGCGGCUGGGCGAGAUCGCGGCGCGGUACGAGGCGAUGGAGCGGCGGGCGCCGGCGGCGGCGCUGCUGCGGAAGCGGCACGCGGCGAGCUGGGACCACGCGGCGUACGCGGCGGCGAGGGAGGCGGCGCUGGCGGGCGCGGGGCUCGCGGAGAGCGGCGUGCGCGGGUGGAGGCGGCCGUUCGUGACGCACUUCACGGGCUGCCAGCCCUGCAGCGGCGACCGGAACCGGGACUACUCCGGGGACAGCUGCGACGACGGCAUGCGGCGCGCGCUCAACUUCGCCGACGACCAGGUGCUGAGGGACUACGGGUUCCGGCACGCCGGCCCGCUCAGCGACGACGUGCGGCCGCUGCCGUUCGAUUACCCCGCGGCGGCCGGGAGGCGCUGA